UACGUAGGUGGCAAGCGUUGUCCGGAUUUACUGGGCGUAAAGGGCGUGCAGGCGGUCUGUUAAGUGCAGGGUGAAAGCUCCCGGCUCAACUGGGAGAGGUCCUUGCAUACUGGCGGACUUGAGGGGGGUAGAGGAAAGUGGAAUUCCCGGUGUAGUGGUGAAAUGCGUAGAGAUCGGAAAGAACACCAACGGCGAAAGCACUCUGCUGGGCCGACACUGACACUGAGAGACGAAAGCUAGGGGAGCGAAUGGG
rnacentral:rRNA from 1 species